CUUCCCACGGACAGGCUCGGCCUCCACCUCGUUGCCCCGACCUCCGGCUCAUCUCCAUCGCCGACCUCCUCACGGCUGUCCCCGACCUCCUCACGGCCAAAUGGGUGGGCAGAGGAUGACGCUGUUGUAGAAUCAGCAAUUUGGCCGGAGGUGGUCGUCCAUGUCUCUCCACUGCUUGUCUGUACAUCGUCUCAACCAUUGGUAGUAGUGUGGAACAUCGCAUGUUGCAGUACGACACUGUAAUUUGUCCUCAUAAAAGGGUCUUCAAAUGGAUACAAAGGGGCAUUUCAAUGAUUUGUUAUGGAUGCCUCAUAGCCAGCACAAAAUAUCCUAGCUUGGGAAAAUCUCAGCUUUAGAGAACCAUGAUUUGUAUCGGAUUGCUAAGACAAGGAAAACCAAUGUCUAUCAAUAUUUGAUAUCAGCAUUGGCGGAGCAUCGGCGGACUGAGACAAAUAGUUUUCACCUACUUAUACCAGAAUUUAAAAAUUCACCGACAGAUGUUUGAUGGAAUGAUGAAAGCAUUGCACUUUCAUACCUUUGUGAUUCCCUUUCAAUUAUUAGUGUGUUGCUUCCACCGCUGACUUGGCUCAACAUGUCUCGAUCUCAUGUGAAAUAAACAUCUAACUCUGUCACUUGUCAUGUUGUCUGGGAUUUGGUCUUCUAAAACAUUAUGUUCCAUCCUCUUUCCUCAUAUACUGGAAUUAAUUGAAUAUGAUAAUGUGGUCUCGGAGGUCCAUUAUCAAAGCUAGCUUGGAUA